AUUGAACGCUGGCGGCAGGCCUAACACAUGCAAGUAGAACGAGUGGCGGACGGGUGAGUAAUGUCUGGGAAACUGCCUGAUGGAGGGGGAUAACUACCGGAAACGGUAGCUAAUACCGCAUACCAUCGGAUGUGCCCAUAUGGGAUUAGCUAGUAGGUGGGGUAAAGGCUCACAUAGGCGACGAUCCCUAGCGGGUCUGAGCGGAUGACCAGCCACACUGGAACUGUGACACGGGCCAGAGUCCUACGGGAGGCAUCAGUGGGGAAUAUUGCACAAUGGACGCAAGCCUGAUGCAGCCAUGCCGCGUGUAUGAAGAAGGCCUUCAGGUUGUAAAGUACUUUCAGCGGUGUGGCGUUACCCGCAGAAGAAGCACCGGCUAACUCCGUGCCAGCAGCCGCGGUAGUAC
rnacentral:rRNA from 1 species